rnacentral:rRNA from 1 species
GACGAACGCUGGCGGCGUGCUUAACACAUGCAAGUCGAACGAAAAGAGGGAAAGAGCUUGCUCUUUCCGGAAUUGAGUGGCAAACGGGUGAGUAACACGUAAACAACCUGCCUUCAGGAUGGGGACAACAGACGGAAACGACUGCUAAUACCGAAUAAGUUCCAAGGGCCGCAUGGCCCAUGGAAGAAAAGGUGGCCUCUACCUGUAAGCUAUCGCCUGAAGAGGGGUUUGCGUCUGAUUAGCUGGUUGGAGGGGUAACGGCCCACCAAGGCGACGAUCAGUGGCCGGUCGGAGAGGAUGAACGGCCACACUGGAACUGAGACACGGCCCAGACUCCUACGGGAGGCAGCAGUGGGGAAUCUUCCGCAAUGAGCGAAAGCCUGACGAAGCAACGCCGCGGGAGUGAUGACGGCCUUCGGGUUGUAAAACUCUGUGAUCCGGGACGAAAAGGCAGAGUGCGAAGAACGAACUGCAUUGACGGUACCGGAAAAGCAAGCCACGGCUAACUACGUG